rnacentral:rRNA from 1 species
AACAGGAUUAGAUACCCUGGUAGUCCACGCCGUAAACGAUGUCGACUUGGAGGUUGUUCCCUUGAGGAGUGGCUUCCGGAGCUAACGCGUUAAGUCGACCGCCUGGGGAGUACGGCCGCAAGGUUAAAACUCAAAUGAAUUGACGGGGGCCCGCACAAGCGGUGGAGCAUGUGGUUUAAUUCGAUGCAACGCGAAGAACCUUACCUACUCUUGACAUCCAGAGAACUUAGCAGAGAUGCUUUGGUGCCUUCGGGAACUCUGAGACAGGUGCUGCAUGGCUGUCGUCAGCUCGUGUUGUGAAAUGUUGGGUUAAGUCCCGCAACGAGCGCAACCCUUAUCCUUUGUUGCCAGCGGUUCGGCCGGGAACUCAAAGGAGACUGCCAGUGAUAAACUGGAGGAAGGUGGGGAUGACGUCAAGUCAUCAUGGCCCUUACGAGUAGGGCUACACACGUGCUACAAUGGCGCAUACAAAGAGAAGCGACCUCGCGAGAGCAAGCGGACCUCAUAAAGUGCGUCGUAGUCCGGAUCGGAGUCUGCAACUCGACUCCGUGAAGUCGGAAUCGCUAGUAAUCGUAGAUCAGAAUGCUACGGUGAAUACGUUCCCGGGCCUUGUACACACCGCCCGUCACACCAUGGGAGUGGGUUGCAAAAGAAGUAGAUAGCUUAACCUUCGGGAGGGCGUUUACCACUUUGUGAUUCAUGACUGGGGUGAAGUCGUAACAAGGUAACC